GAUGAACGCUGGCGGCGUGCCUAAUACAUGCAAGUCGAGCGAACAGACGAGGAGCUUGCUCCUCUGACGUUAGCGGCGGACGGGUGAGUAACACGUGGAUAACCUACCUAUAAGACUGGUAUAACUUCGGGAAACCGGAGCUAAUACCGGAUAAUAUAUUGAACCGCAUGGUUCAAUAGUGAAAGACGGUUUUGCUGUCACUUAUAGAUGGAUCCGCGCCGCAUUAGCUAGUUGGUAAGGUAACGGCUUACCAAGGCAACGAUGCGUAGCCGACCUGAGAGGGUGAUCGGCCACACUGGAGCUGAGACACGGUCCAGACUACUACGGGAGGCAGCAGAAGGGAAUCUUCGGCAAUGGGCGAAAGCCUGACGGAGCAACGCCGCGUGAGUGAUGAAGGUCUUCGGAUCGUAAAGCUCUGUUAUUAGGGAAGAACAAAUGUGUAAGUAACUAUGCACGUCUUGACGGUACCUAAUCAGAAAGCCACGGCUAACUACGUG
rnacentral:rRNA from 1 species